ACGCUCGACCCUACGGAGGCAGCAGUGGGGAAUAUUGCACAAUGGGGGAAACCCUGAUGCAGCGAUGCCGCGUGAAGGAAGAAGUAUCUCGGUAUGUAAACUUCUAUCAGCAGGGAAGAAAAUGACGGUACCUGACUAAGAAGCCCCGGCUAACUACGUGCCAGCAGCCGAGGUAAUCUGAGCGGGCUGGCAAGGC
rnacentral:rRNA from 1 species